ensembl:lncRNA
CUUAUUUCCUUGGUACCAGAUCCCUUUUGACUGCUAUAGUUUAUUAUGGUUAGUCCAUUAUAAAUUACAUGAUGUCUCCAGGGACCCAUUCUGAACUUGAAAUAUCACAAGACUGCUAUCGUGCAUAAUGCUGCAAAGAGCAGCUAAAUUUAUAUCCACUAAAAAUGUGCUUUCCAUUGCAGAACAACCCACUUUAAGUAUACUCUGUUAUUUUCUGUUUGUCCAGUUUUAUCUUUCUCAGAAAAUGUUCAUGGAAAAUCUGGGUUUUUUUGUGCUUGGUGUACAGUGUGAUUAUCAUUAUUUUAUAAAACUUGGACAUUCUCUCAUAUUCCCCUAGAGACAAAGCAUGUAAAGGGCAAUUUUGACUGCCAGCCCAUGUAAAUUCUCUCAGACCGUAUAAAAAGACAACAGUGGCAGAUUGGCUCCAGGAGCUUAUGGUUUCUUCUGUUACUAAACAGCACAGCAAAUAGAACAGCUUGUGAAACGAAAGUUGUGCUAACAUAUAGAUAAUGACAGCUUAGUUGUGCAGUUUCAAAGCAUGCCCUAAGAUGUCAUUUUAAAAGUUGCAUUUGUUUAUUUAUUUAUUUAUUUUACUUUGAACUGGAGUACUGUGGCCUGUUUUCACAAAAUGAAAAAACAAAGCAUAACUUUCUGAUUCUGCAUUACUGUUUCACCUUCUGUAGAGGGGAGAAUGGCUUUUAAUGUCCUUGGGAUCCUAUAUUCUAUAAAUCACUAUCUACAAAAAAGUACAUUCAUAGGAAUUCUGCCAUAAUACCUCCUGAGUGUAUAAUAAGAAAAAUAUAUGGCAGGACUAUUAUGUUACUACUUGACAUGGCUUCUUGACAUGGUUAAGUAGUCAAUAAUCUAUUCCACUGAGGAGAUGUUUACAGGAGUAGAGAGAAGCAAGUUAAAUUGAAAGGAUUCUUCUGUUUGAUUUUUUUUUUUCACUGAAUCUUCUUUAGAUGGUAACCAAUUACAUCCUUUCAGGCAGGAAACAACUCAGUCAUAAGUGAUUCUACAUGACUUUUGUCUGGAGAAAGUGUUGUGGUAGCCAUUGGCUACUGGAAAUGAAGUUGUGUGCAGUGAUAAUAGAUUUGUUGGGUUCAUAAGCUCUUUCACCUCUUGGAAAGAAAGAGAUAGGUGAAAGUAAGUACUCCAGAUCUCCAGAUGUCUUGACACCAUAUUACAUCAGAUGAGUGAUGGGCUAGAAUUAUUUUUCAGUGAUGGUCUUUGCAGCAGCAAACAUCAAGUUGUCCCAGAUGCUAUCCCUUUAUACUCCUUUGGAGCUCUUCUAAAAAAAUUAAUCUCCUCUCUCUAGAACGGGAGACGUCUGAGGUGUUGAUUAAGAAACUAAAAGGAAGGAUUCCUCACUAUGUCUGAAUGCUCCUUCUCAUCAUUUAAAAGAAGUCAGAGGGAACAGGAUGAGGAAAGAGAUGAGUAUACUGUUGCAGUUUAGUACCAGUGUUCCCAUCGACUCGAUGUUUUCUGAAUCUGAAUUCUACAACAUGGUGUGGAUUCAGCAAGAAAUGUCCCGAGAAAUGGUGGAUCAGAAGAUAGAAAAUGGCAGUGACAUCCACCUUUGUGCCAGGCACAGUGCCGGUACUCCAGAGCCACACAACAACUGUCUCCAACCUCACAUUCGUGCUUGUAAUUCCAGACACGCUUAAUGACGUAUAUCAAUGGUUCCUCCCCCAUACAAUGUUAAAAAAAACUUCCACUUGUAUUUUCAAUUAUGUUAUUUUUCACUUAGACAUGUCUGAAACUUCAGCAACAACAAAUCUUUAACUUAUUCCCUUCUUUUUACUUCGGGUUGAUUUUGUUACUGGUUUUUGUUUGUUUGUUUGUUUUUCUUUUUCUGUCUUCACAACAUACUGCAGGUUUGAGUCUCUCAGAGCCAGAAAGAAAUCGGUAUCAAGACGUGCUAAGAAUGUAUUGUAGUUACUAAGGAAGUGGUUUCCCAAGCAACAGUAACCACAAGAAAUUUGACAGAAUUUCUUCCUUUGCUACUAUAUCAUGUUUGAAGAUUUCAAAGAGCCAGGAUGUGGGUAGCAUAAGUGAUUUUGUCCUUGUUAAACAGAAGCAGAUACAGUAAUGUCCUUGUCCUUACUAAAGAAAGGGUUAAAUUCAGUAAGUUACAAUUUUCCUGGUAGCAGAAAAAAAUGUGGAUGUGCCAAAUAGUCCUGCAGCAUGUGGGCAGAUGCUAGAGGCAACAUUCUCAGUUGUUACAUACUCAGUGGUGAUAUUUACCAUUCAAGAAAGCCAUGCCAACACUUUGGUUUGCUCCAGACACUGGAAGAGACAUUUACCAGCUUGAUGAUGUCAAAAAGUGUAGGAAACUUGCACUUGCUUGAUAUUAGUAGAAGGAUCAGAACCAAAGGUAAUGAAGUUGCAUUGUCCUAACUUCUCUGCAGUGGUGUAAACAAAAUGGAGUCAGCUGGGCAUCAAUCAAAGAAUGCAGUGUCAUUGCUAUUCUGUUUUGAUCAAGAAAUGAAAAUAACACAGUAGAUGUUGCCCUCUGAAAGUGAAUUUAAUGCUUGUUCUUAGAAGGGAAUUGGAAACAACAGGUUCUAUGGGUUAACAAGCAGUGCAAUUUAAUAUGUUUUCUCGAUAGAAAAUGUGAAUAAUUCCUACCUGCUUCUGUGCGCUGAGGUUUAUUGAGUGGUAAGGCACCACAGAGGCACUGUUAAUAAAGAGCUCAAUCCAGCAAGACAAAGAAAGAGAUGACUCAUUUUUCAUUUGAGUUUCAGGUACUAAGAAAAUCAAAAUUUCUUUCAAAAAUUUGUCUUUAAGAAGUGAUUCUUUAUAUCCACUUCAUGUUUAUGGUGAAAUUUAAAAAAGAAAAUGUGGUGGUGUGCAUGUGAGCCAAAUCCCAAGGGAAGGUAUGUAUUGAAGGAGGUGUGUUUCCAUAUGUUAUUAAGGUUCGUGCUUUGUAGGUACACUUACAUCUUUUCUGAAAACUUAGAUUUCUGCUUUGACCAGAGUAAGAAUUUUUUUACAAUUGUACAAACUCCUACUUAUCUUCUGGAUUGCAGGUCACCAUGCAUAAUGAAACAUUUGAGCUACGGAACCUUUUAAAGUAUACGAAGAAACAAUUAUGUGUAUUAUGAAACUGUUCAGCAGUAUGGAUUGGGGCCAGCUCUGUGCAUUCCCAGAUGUAAUGGACAUAAUUGCAGGUCUCCAAGCACAGACACUGAAGUGAAUGACUGAGGGGAUUUGGGGGCUUCACUGGCUCUGGAUCUGUAUCAGCAGUGCCAGAAACAAACUGGCUCAUUAAAAGCUUUAAUCUUAUUUCACUUAUUACCCUUUCACUUAUUUCUACCUUUGUGAACUGCUUCAUGCAAAGAACUGCCUUUUUAAACCAUCUCUCAAACCCUCUUCAAGUUGCAGAACUAAUAUUCUUAGCUAACAAGCUCUUAGUUAAGUAAGUGGUUAGAAAACUUCUAAGUCCUUCAGAAGGCUUCCUUCCAACACAUCCUCCGUAGACAUACUAAUGUGUUUGUAUUUCUGUGAUGCAUUAAGACAUCUAAAAGAAUACUGCUUGUAGGCAGGUAAAUGCUAUAAUUAGAAAAAAACAAGUUGAGUCUCCAAAUAAAGUCAUCUGUUUCUUUUAAAAAUACAGUAGAUGCACUAUAAUGUAGGAACUUAAUUUAUUUAAAUAAAGUUUGUUUGUAUUCAUGCACAGAACCCAACUAAAUCAAAUGUCUGCAGCUUUUGUGCAUGCUUGCAUUUUAAGCAGUUGCAUCUAAUCAGAAUAGUUAUCAUUUUAAUAGAGCUGGCGCACAUUAAAAAGAGCAUGGAUGGGGGGAUGUUACCCUCCCCCUCUACUCUGCCCUGCUGAGGCCACAUGUAGAGUACUACGUCCGGUUCUAGACUCCUCAGUUCAAGAAAGACAGAGAGAGUCCAACAAAGGGUCAUAAAGAUGAUGGGGAACCUGGAGCAUCUCCCUUCUGAGGAAAGGCUGAGAGACCUGUGACUGUUCAGCCCAGAGAAGACUGAGAAGGAAUCUUACCAAUGCCUAUGGAUAUCUGAAGUGUGGAAGUAAGGUGGAUGGGGCCAGGCUCUUUUCAGUGGUGCCCAGUGACAGGACAAGGGGCAAAGGGCACAAACUGGAACACUAGAAGUUCCAUAUGAACUUGAGGAAAAACCUCUUUGAAAGUGACAGAGCACUGGAACAGGCUGCCUGGAGAGAUUGUGGAGUCUCCUUCUCUGGAGAUAUGCAUAUCUGCCUGGACGCCUUCCUGUAUGACCUACUGUAGGGAACUUGUUUUAUCAAGGAGAAAGCUGCCUCUGCCCUCGAAGGCCUCUCAUUUUACCAGGAUGUAUGCAGUGGACACAGACCUGAUAAGAAAUUAUGAGGUUGCAGUUUCUACUGGAAUAAGAGUUCAAUGCAGUCACUUACCCAGACUUCACUUCAUCAUGUCUGAGCACUUACAGCUAUAACUUGUGAUCUUUCUGGUUUAUUUGGAGGCACAGCAAGCCAGCUCCUGUACACAGAGGCAUCCUUAUAUGCUUUCUAAUGUGAUGCUGCUGCGUGGGAUAUUGAGAUCACAGUGAAGGUCGCAGUGCAAAUAUUUACAUACAGGCAAGUCUUAGUGUAUGACUCUCUGGAGACCCCUACAUAAAGGCUGUGAAUCUGAUUAGAUUCCAAAAUGGAAGAGCAAGACAUCUUGUUUUUGUCCAUACUCUUGAAAAUGUUAUCCUAACCCUCAAGAACAUUAAGAACAGUAAGGCUAUGAAGAGAUGGAGAAGAACAACUGAAGUUCCAUAACAAGCCAUUCAAUUUGGUAUUGUUGAAUCACUACAUCAAGAAACCUAUCUGCAUCUUGAAGAACAUAUUGUUACUUGCACUGCUUUAUGUCAAAUUAAACAUGUAGACAAUUUCAAAUGGAAAGAAUGUUGGACAGUAUAGUAACAACUCAGAGUCAGGACUAAAAGCAAAAUUAGUUGCUCUCGCACAAGCUUUUGGCUUGUUAUGGAAGAAGAUGAUUACUGUAAUUAGUGACACUGAAGAUGUACAAUUCUCUUCAUGAAAUAGUUGUGGAUGAAGUCCAAAAAAUUAUUAUGCUGGCUGUUUGGCCAGAAAAUAUCAAAAGGGGACACCUGUGUUCCAGAUAGAAACAGCUGUAAAUAUGUUGUUACAUAAGCACUCGCUCUGCUCCCACAUACUGUGUCUUGCUGUUGUCAACCUAAGCUUGAGAACUGGUUCCAUUUGAAGGGAAAGAAAAAGCAUAGAGAUAUACAGUAUUUAAGAGAAGAUCCCCGUUCCUUCAUUUUUUGCCUUCAUAUUUUCUAUUAUUUUUGUACUUUUUUUUUUUUUUUUUUUUCCUGGAUUUCAACCCAGGAAUCCAUCUUCCUCAUCUGCUGUAAUUCAUAGACUUGAGAGUAACCUUUCUUCUUCCCUGCUACCGCAACAACUAAUCAUUUACAUUUUAGAUGCAAAAUGCCACUGCCUGUAGAGGAAGUUUGUCCUUGCAUUCUCAGUUUUUCUUAGGGGGUGGAGACAUAGAUCUGAAUGUGAAUUUAAAUAGUAAUGGCAGUGAAACUUCGGUCCGUCGCAGCUUCAACAGCUUUUGCCAAAAAAAACCCACAACAACAACAAACAAAACAAACAAAAACAAACAAACAAAAAAAACCUCCAACCACCUUAAAUGUUUUUCUGGCCAUUUUGCAAAAGAGAACAAUUUCUGAGACUUUUUUAUUAUAUUUGUUUAUUUAUUUAACUUGUGAAGAAAUAAAUAUUAAAACCUACUGGCUCAAGACUUUUAGAAGAGUAAAGCACUGGAAUGUUUAGGUUUGACAAAUGCAUUGAUGCACUUGACACUUCAUGUUUUCAUGACUGAAUUGUUUCUUGUCAUUUAGAGAAGCAGAAAUUUUGUGGGAGAGUUGCAAUACUCCCUCCUUAGUUUUUAUGCUACCUUGAGUCUGUGUAAUGUAAGGGCAUGUUUGAAAUGCUGUCUUUGGGUCUGGGAGCUUAAAUUUCACGUAAUUUAUGUAUUAGAAAUUCAAGUCCAUAUUUGAAGCUGUAUUUAUGUAUCUUCUCUGUUUUGUGGUGGUUUUGCUUUUUAAAUGUAAAGUAUUAAUUUUCACAUUCAAACAUGCCUGUAAAUGGAGCUUAUCUGAUAUUAUGUGCAAGUUCAGGCAAAUUGUUUAUUAU